UGAGCCAAAACCAAGACUUCGUGUGCUUCGU
rnacentral:piRNA from 1 species